rnacentral:ncRNA from 2 species
CGUCAGUUUCAGGGAAGGUGAAAGUCCUUACUGGCGGUAUCCGGCUGAAUGCCGGGAGCCCGCGACCCGCGCAAGCGGUGGAUAUCGGUCAAAAUCCGAAGCCAACGGUUACAGUCCGGAUGGAAGAAACGAGGC